rnacentral:rRNA from 1 species
CACGUAGGGGGCAAGCGUUGUCCGGAUUUAUUGGGCGUAAAGAGCUCGUAGGUGGUUCGGUAAGUCGGGUGUGAAAACUCUGGGCUCAACUCAGAGACGCCACCCGAUACUGCUGUGACUUGAGUCCGGUAGGGGAGUGUGGAAUUCCCAGUGUAGCGGUGAAAUGCGCAGAUAUUGGGAGGAACACCAGUGGCGAAGGCGGCACUCUGGGCCAGUACUGACACUGAGGAGCGAAAGCGUGGGUAGCGAACAGG